rnacentral:lncRNA from 1 species
ACAACAACAACAACAAAACCUACCAAUGUAAGCAAGUUACGGAUUCUGAGAUGAGGAGAUCAUUCUGGAUUAUUCAGAUGGGGAAUAAAACCGUGACAAAUAGUCCUUUUAAGACAAAAGCAGAAGGAUGUUUGAGACCAAUACAGAGGAGAAGGCAAUAUGAAGACAGAGGCUGAGACUGGAGCAGUGUGGGCACAAACCUCUUUCAGCCACCAGAAGCUGGAAGGACAAGGAAAUUAAUUCUCUCCUAGCACCCCUAGAGGGAAUGUAGCACUGCCAGUGCCUUGAUUUUGGACUGGUGUUCUGCAGAACUGUGAGAAAAUAAAUUUCUGUUGUUUAUGCCACCAAGUUUGUGGUAAUUCGUUAUGACAGCAAUAGGAAACUAAUACACUCCUUCGCUUAGCAGCCAGGAAAUCCUGGGUAAGAUAUUUGUACUGUCUCUUUCCUAUUCCCUUCAUCUGUAAAAUGUGGAUAAUAAUAAAAACG